rnacentral:misc_RNA from 1 species
CCUACAGGCAGUACAAAAUUCGUGUAUUAAACAAGCACUUCUUCACACUGAAUUUUGUGUGCUAAGAGGUAACUUGAUUUACAUACAAUCAUCAUAUCAUGAUUUCACGAGUCUUGUUUUAUAUACAAAUUGAUUAAUACUCUGCAAACAAUAUCGUUCCACACACUAGCUUGUACCCUUGUACAUUCUAUCAAUGGCACUCACCUUACCUAGGUUAUUCCCAUCACAAAAGCAAUUACAGAUCAAAUGGCUGCAGGUCUCCCAUCCUUUCUAGGAUCACUUACCGCAGUAAGUGUCCCAUGGAAUAUUUUAGAACCUUUUCCAUUCUUCCGCCCCAUGGCAAUGGGGUUUUGGAGGGUUUGAACAACAAGCUGGACUAUAGCUCCCAGUGCCUUAGCCUCCAAUUGGUGUCCCUUCUCUUCCAAGAAGAGCUUUGUUUCCUCAGCAACCUCUAUGUGAUCACCAUCGAUCACGGUGAAGUUCUCAUACUGCACAAUGUUAGGUAUUAACUUGUGGUAGACCCUUGGACUCUGAACUGCAGUUAAAGGUUCCAUUCCCAAGACAAAAUGGUUAAUAAAAACUUGUGUUACUGCUGGAAUGAUGUCCAUUCCUCCACUGCCUCCCAAGACUCCUACCAGCUGAUCAUCCUUAGUAACAAUAAUGGGGGUCAUGGAAGAUAGGGGUCUCUUGUUGGAUUCAAUAAAAUUUGCAGGAGCAGGAGGAAGCAUGUCAAACCUUAUCUCUGUGGGUGCUGAGAAGUCACCCAUCUCAUCAUUUAGCACAAUACCAGUAGAAGGAGAGAGAACUCCUGCUCCGAAAUUAUAAUUUACAGUGGUUGUCAUAGAUACUGCAUUUCUCUCGGCAUCAACAAUGCAGAAAUGGCUAGUUCCAUGAUCUCUAAGCUGACUCCACCUGUUCAUAUAAUAUUCUGGAAGAAAAGUAGUAUUAUCUAAUAUCAUUUUCCGAAUUUGCUCAGCAUAGGAUGGAGAAAGCAUUUCAGAGACGUAUUUGUGAAUGUCUACAAACUUAGGGUCUCCCAAAUUCAUUCGGACAGCAAACAUGUGUUUUAAUGCUUCAAUCAAGCGAUGUACCCCAAGAUUCCCCUUUGCAGCAACUGAAGUUCCAUAGCUAUCAAAGAUGUUCAAGACCAUAGACAAUCCAACUGUUCCACUUGAAGGAGGUGGCAUUCCAUACACAGUGUAGCCCAUCACAUUUGCAGCCAUUGCAUCCAUUAUAUCUACCUUGUAAUUUUUUAAAUCCUCCAUUGUUAAUAUCCCACCAGCUUUUCUUACAUCCUUCACCAACUGCUCACCAACAGUGCCAUUGUAAAAGGUUUGUGGCCCCUGUUCUGCUACUGCCUCCAGGCUCCUGGCUAGCUUCACAUUGUAGCAUCUAUCACCAGCUUGUAACAACUUCCCAUUUGGUGCAAACACUUGCUUCAACCCAGAGUCAUUCAAAAUUUUUCCUGCAUUGUGAACUAUUGCUAAUCCGAGAUAAGGUGCAACAAUAAAACCAUCUUUCGCAAGUUUUAUGGCAGGUUGGAAUAAAUUCCUCCAAGCCAAACGUCCAUGCUGUAACCAAGCUUCAUGAAGACCAGCAAUCUCACCAGGAACUCCAAUUGACAAUGGACCUGAAUACUUGUCUUGAAUGUUGUUUGCAUACAUAUUCUGGUUGUGGACAAUUACAUUAAAAUAGCCAUGAGAUAAAGCAAAAUUGUCGAACUUUCUACAUUUGAUAUAAUCAGUCCCCUUAGCAUAGCACCCCAACCCAAGAAAUAUCAGAAUUUGUAUAUGUCAGCUGAAAGAGAGAACUAUGAACCUUUGAAGCAGCUAAGGGAGCAGUUUCCCUCAUGUCAAAAGCUUGAGUUUUCAAAGCCAGUGAAGACCUAACAAUCAUGAAAGCUCCACCUCCUAUUCCACUGGACAUUGGAUUAACAACUCCAACACAUAAUGCUGUUGCCACUGCAGCAUCAACAGCGUGCCCUCCUUGUCUAAGCAUUGAUGCUCCGAUGUCAGAACAUCGGCCAUCAUCAGCAGCCACAACUCCUUGAUCCGACUCCACAAUUUCACCAUCAUUAACUCUAAUCCUCUCAUUGAAAUUUUUUCCUUCUCGUAAUACCCAGGUAGUUAAAUUGCCUCCAAAUAUUAGGCCUACAGCUAAAGUUGGAACAGUAAUCUUAGCAUUAAAAUGAAUCCUCUCGCAUGACCAUAAGAAAAUCAUAUUCUACCAGUCUAAUAAAAAUGGGUUGAAUGAUUGUGAAGCAUUAUGAUACAACACUAGGUAUGAUCACCAACCUUUUAGCUUAGGAGAGAUCUACAUAGCAUACUGAACAAUAAAAAUGAUUUUAAAAUUCUUCCAUAUCAAAAGAUUUAUAAUUUUUUAAUAUUAAUUAUUAUUUCCUCAUUACCACAUAGGAAUUCCAGGUAUUAUCCUUGAGGCUGGAAUUGGAUUUCAUAAAAAAUUCAUAAGGGGGAAAAAACAAAAAUGAAAAAGCUUUAGUACUUUGUGUGUGUAACCCAUACACUGGCUUCUAGAGGCUGCAAAACAGUCCACAAUCACAGUAAGAGUUCUCGCUCUGAGGAUUAAUUCCAGAGCAGAACAAGAAAAAGAGGUUAUCUUUUCAUAGAAAAUCUAACAAUUUAAAAUUUACCCAGAUUCUGAAAUUACGAGAAAGAGAAAAUCUGAAAGCAAACAUGAAGAGAGGAGAAGAAUAGAAACAGACAUGAGAUGGUGAAGAAACAAAGAAGG